AGUCGAGAAUUUUUCACAAUGGGGGCAACCCUGAUGGAGCGACGCCGCGUGGAGGAUGAAGGUCUUUUGAUUGUAAACUCCUGUCAUGCGAGAACAAGCAAGUGAUAGUAUCGCAAGAGGAAGGGACGGCUAACUCUGUGCCAGCAGCCGCGGUAAUACAGAGGUCCCAAGCGUUGUUCGGAUUCAUUGGGCGUAAAGGGUGCGUAGGCGGUGUCGCAAGUCGAAGGUGAAAUCUCGGGGCUCAACUCCGAAACUGCCUUCGAUACUGCGGCACUCGAGGACUGUAGAGGAGAAUGGAAUUCACGGUGUAGCAGUGAAAUGCGUAGAUAUCGUGAGGAAGACCAGUGGCGAAGGCGAUUCUCUGGGCAGUUCCUGACGCUGAGGCACGAAGGCCAGGGGAGCAAA
rnacentral:rRNA from 1 species